CCAAUUUUCCUAUUUCACUGUCACCCCCCUGCUUGUAGUGACCUUUUAAUUCCCGGUAUCAAUAUCAUUGUUUAGAGGUAAGUUUUGAAAUUCAUUAAAUAGCUCAAUUUCAUAAUUUUCAAUCGAAUUAUCCACAAUGUUAAAAAAUCAUAGCCUCCUCACUAUCUAUCUCAUCAACGGGUACCAAAGUUAAAUCGUCCAUACGAAUAAUACUUCCCACUAUAAUAUUUUCAGCCUGAUCUGCUGAAAUAGUUGUUGAGGUGGAGAUUUAUUUUUAUUGGAAUCUUUUUCCACAAUAAGUGUUUUUUGGAAAUCGAUUUCAGUUAUUACAACGUCUACAUUAAUACCAUAUAGUUUUAAAUCACAGGAAAUUGACUCAAUAACUCUUUUUACAACAUCGAAAUCAUUUACAGUUAAUGUUUGUUCGGCGUUUGCAGAAACAGUUUGUUGGUGAAAAUUUUUUUCAAGGAAAUUUUUAACACAUUUUGUGUAAUCUACGCUCUUAGGCUGAAAAGGAUAUAACCCGCAUUUACGAAAACCUUUCACAAUAUGACUUUUUAUUUGCGUGGUCUACAGUGUAUCUUCAAAUACUUUGCAGAAAUUAAUUUUUGUGAUUAUUUGAUUCGAAUUUUCAGGGCGUUUCUGCCAAUCUUGAAAACGCUGACAUCAGGGCCCCUAUGCUUGACGCUAAGAGAAUGCUCCUAUACGAAGGCUCUCUUAAAAAAAGUGACGUCUUGCGCAAGUCAUUCUCAUGAAUUAUGACAAUUCGACAUUCUUGAAAGUAAGAGAAUGUUCACCGUUCUCUCGAGGAGUAUUCUACUGGGUAAAACCGAGAGAAUCGAGGAAUGUGAGAGAAUGACGCGCGUUACUAUGCGGUCAUAUUACAUAACCUCUAAAAACAACCCGAUAAUUUUCGACAAAUAAUAUUGUAAAAUGUUUAAUUGGGUUUAAUCUAUACUUAUAUUUAUAAUAUUAUAAAGAUUGGCGCGAAAUUGAAGUAUAAAAUUCAACUGGUGAAAUGGAAGACAAAGAAAUUAUUGUUUGGAAUAUUUUAAACAAUGAUUUGGAAGAUACUGAAGAGCAGGUUGAAGAACACGUCACUCGGUUAAAUUUUAGGCAGCAAAACCCAUUAGCUAUAUUGCCUGAACAGCACUUUAUUCAACACUUUCGUUUAGAUAAAAACACAAAUUUGCUGGGAGAACUAACACAAAUAAUUGCACCCCCUCAUAGAAGACGGACAGCUUUGGAUUUAUCAAAGAAGUUGUUGGUGACUUUAAUGUUUUAUGGACAAGGAACUUACCAAUCUGUAACAGGGAGCAAUUAUUUCUGUGGUAUCAGCCAAAGCAGUGUUAGCAGGUGUAUAGAAGAAGUAACGAAUGCUCUUAAUCAUCCAGUUAUUGUGGGUCGAUGGAUCAGAUUUCCACACAAUAUAGAGGGACUCACUCAACAGAGAGCAAGAUGGAUUUGCAGAUUGCUACUGGAAUACCAGGUAUUGGUGUAAUAGACUGCACCCAUAUUGCCAUAGUGAUGCCUUCCGAAGAAGAACACAUAUAUGUCAAUCGUAAAAACUAUCACUCCUUAAACGUGCAGCUGGUGUGCGAUGAAAAUUUAAAAAUAAUGAAUGUCAAUGCCAGGUUUCCCGGAAGCACCCAUGAUGCUUAUAUAUGGGGACAAUGAAAUGUUUCCAGAUUCAUGGAACACAUUUAUAGGCGUAAUCCGAGAAAUAUUUUUUUUUAUUGGGCGACUCUGGGUAUCCUCUGCGCCCUUGGUUACAAAUUCCAUUAAGAGAUCCUCUUCCUGGAGCCGAAGAAAGAUUUAAUAAUGAGUUCAAAAGAGCUAGGUGCUUUAUUGAAAGAUGCAAUGGUGUCUUGAAAAAUAGAUUCCGAUGUCUUUUAAAGCACCGCGUUUUGCACUACACAUCAACAAAAGCAGCAAAAAUUACAAUGGCAUGCUGUGUUCUACAUAACAUAUGUACUGAAAAUCGGAUUCCCGCGCCAGAAAUUGAUGAGGAACUAGAUUUAGGCAUUAUUGAAGGAAAUAAUCCAGGUUUUCAAAACAUGGCAAGAAAUCCUGAUUUAGUAGCUGGUAGGCAGCUGAGACAGGCCAUUAUUGAAAAUCAUUUCCACUAGAGCAUAUUAUUUAUACACAGUGUGUUUCAGGAAGCUCUGGAAUUUUUUUAUUGUGUACUUUAUGAAAAGAGUUUUUUUUUAAGUUCUUGCAUAAAAGAGUAGAUUUGGCAAAGUAAAGUCUAGGUAUAAUAUACAGGCACUGCAAAAAGUUAAAAAAUGUGACUUUCAAAAUCCAAGUAACUUUAACUUUUUUUUAAUAGCAAAUUUAAAGAGUGCCAAGGCACGAACAAUACAGCUUAAUUUUUUUACAAACUUUUGUUGAAGAAAAUAAUUUAAACUCAAUAAUAAUUUUCAAAUAAUUUAAUCUUUGUCACAAGUUUUUUUGACACCUCUCUGUCACGCAAAAAAAGUACAAGACAUAUUGUUAUAUCUCUAACAUUAAGAUUUCCUCUUUGAUUAUGAUUUAUAUUAUUGGGCUUUUAUGUUUGUAUUUUGGCACUCUUUUAAUGCGCUGUUCCAAAAAAUGUAUUUUUAGAGUUAUUU